rnacentral:rRNA from 1 species
UACAGAGGGUGCAAGCGUUAAUCGGAAUUACUGGGCGUAAAGCGCUCGUAGGCGGAUGUUUAAGUCGAUCGUGAAAGCCCUGGGCUUAACCUAGGAACUGCGGUCGAUACUGGGCAUCUAGAGUAUGGUAGAGGAUAGUGGAAUUCCCGGUGUAGCAGUGAAAUGCGUAGAUAUCGGGAGGAACACCAGUGGCGAAGGCGACUAUCUGGAUCAAUACUGACGCUGAGGAGCGAAAGCGUGGGGAGCAAACAGGAUUAGAGACCCUGGUAGUCCACGCCCUAAACGAUGAGAACUAGGCGUUGGGAAGCUCAGCUUCUUAGUGCCGCAGCUAACGCGUUAAGUUCUCCGCCUGGGGAGUACGGCCGCAAGGCUAAA